UAUCCAGACUCCUACGGGAGGCAGCAGUGGGGAAUAUUGCACAAUGGGGGAAACCCUGAUGCAGCGGCGCCGCGUGAGCGAUGAAGUAUUUCGGUGUGUAAAGCUCUAUCAGCAGGGAAGAAAAUGACGGUACCUGACUAAGAAGCCCCGACUAACUACGUGCCAGCAGCCGCGGUAAUACGUAGGGGGCAAGCGUUAUCCGGAUUUACUGGGUGUAAAGGGAGCGUAGACGGUCCUGCAAGCCAGAUGUGAAAGCCCGGGGCUCAACCCCGGGACUGCAUUUGGAACUGUAAGGCUAGAGUGUCGGAGAGGCGGGCGGAAUUCCUAGUGUAGCGGUGAAAUGCGUAGAUAUUAGGAGGAACACCAGUGGCGAAGGCGGCCUGCUGGACGAUGACUGACGUUGAGGCUCGAAAGCGUGGGGAGCAAACAGGAUUAGAUACCCUGGUAA
rnacentral:rRNA from 1 species